rnacentral:rRNA from 1 species
UACGGGGGGGGCAAGCGUUGUUCGGAAUUACUGGGCGUAAAGGGCUCGUAGGUGGCCAACUAAGUCGGACGUGAAAUCCCUCAGCUUAACUGGGGAACUGCGUCUGAUACUGGAUGGCUUGGAUUUGGGAGAGGGAUGCGGAAUUCCAGGUGUAGCGGUGAAAUGCGUAGAUAUCUGGAGGAACACCGGUGGCGAAGGCGGCAUCCUGGACCAAUAUUGACGCUGAGGAGCGAAAGCCAGGGGAGCAAACGGG